rnacentral:lncRNA from 1 species
UCGACCAAAAUCAUAGACACAUAGACAGGUACGAGCUGUUAUUGGAUUCGAACUGGUAACUCGACCGAUAACAUUGAAAAGUAAACGGGUGCAAGUUGUUCUUGGAUUCGAACUGGUUACUUGACCAAACAUAAGCAAAUUGAUAGGUACAAGCUGCUCUUGGAUUGAGCUGGGCACUUGACCAAACAAAAACAUAUUGACAGGUACAAGCUGCUCUUGGAGUGAGCUGGGCACUUGAUCGAUAACAUAUGCAAAUUGACAGGUACAAGCUGCUCUUGGAUUGAGUUGGGCACUUGACCAAACAGAAACAUAUUGACAGGUACAAGCUGCUCUUGGAGUGAGCUGGGCACUUGACCGGGGAUAAAGACAAAUAGACAGGUACGAGUUGUUCUUGGAUCCGAACUGGUCACUCGACCAAAAUCAUAGUCACAUAGACAGGUACGAGCUGUUCUUGGAUUCGAACUGGUAACUCGACCGAUAGCAUAAGCAAAUUGACAGGUACAAGCUGCUCUUGGAUUGAGCUGGUCACUUGACCGGGGAUAAAGACAAAUAGACAGGUACGAGUUGUUCUUGGAUCUAAACUGGUCACUCGACAAAAAUCAUAGACACAUACACAGGUACGAGCUGUUCUUGGAUUCGAACUGGUUACUUGACCAAACAUAAGCAAAUUGAUAGGUACAAGCUACUCUUGGAUUGAGCUGGGCACUUGACCAAACAGAAACAUAUUGACAGGUACAAGCUGCUCUUGGAGUGAGCUGGGCACUUGACCGAUAACAUAGGCAAAUUGACAAGUAAGAGCUGCUCUUGGAAUGAGCUGGGCACCUGACCAAACAGAAACAUAUUGACAGGUACAAGCUGCUCUUGGAGUGAGCUGGUCACUUGACCGUGGAUAAAGACAAAUAGACAGGUACGAGUUGUUCUUGGAUCUGAACUGGUCACUCGACCAAAAUCAUAGUCACAUAGACAGGUACGAGCUGUUCUUGGAUUCGAACUGGUAACUCGACCGAUAACAUAAGCAAAUUGACAGGUACAAGCUGCUCUUGGAUUGAGCUGGGCACUUGACCAAACAUAAACAUAUUGACAGGUACAAGCUGCUCUUGGAUUGAGCUGGGCACUUGACCGGGAAAAAAGGCAGACAGACAGGUGCGAGUUGUUCUUGGAUUCGAACUGGUAACUCGACCGAAAGCAAAGGCAAAUAGACAGGUACGAGCUGUUCUUGGAUUCAAACUGGUAACUCGACCGAUAACAUAAGCAAAUUGACAGGUACAAGCUGCUCUUGGAUUGAGCUGGGCACUUGACCAAACAGAAACAUAUUGACAGGAACAAGCUGCUCUUGGAUUGAGCUGGGCACUUGAC